CAGCAAAGGACAAAGGCUUUGCCAAAUGGGAAAAUGAGAAGCCCAGGGUGCAUGCUGGUGUGGAUGUUGUAGACCGGGGCACGGAGUUUGAACUUGACCAGGAUGAAGGAGAAGAGACCAGACAGGAUGGUGAGGAUGGCUGACUUCAGGCUGCGGAAACUGAAGGCAAUAAUGUUGGCUUUUGGAAGGGGCAAGACGAGAAACUCUGAAGAAAGCUCUGACUCUCAGGAAGUUAUCUGGAAAGAUACCUGGAUGUUUACUGCCUUGGGACACUGUGGGAUCUCCAUGUUUGGACUAUGGGACAGAGAAUUGACCCUAACUAACUAACUAUGAACUAUUUAUUUCCUCCUCCCCUACCCCUAGUUAAGUGCCACAAAGACUGUGUUAUGUAGUCAGUACUUUUUUCUCAUGUAUCUUUCUCUAGACCAUUUAUAUACGGGUGAAAUGAAAGCUUUUUUGCAUGUACUUGAUACUCAGUCUGUAAACUCAGACUUCGCUUUUUUUGUGAGACUAUCCUUUCAAUAUUUUUAUAAACUUUUGUGUGUGCUGUGGCAGGGAACAGUUAACAAGGAGUUUAUUUAGAGGGGUUUUUUUCAUUUUUUGUUUUUCUUGUUUUGUUUUGUUUUGUUUUGUUCUUCUUGGUGUGCUUUUUGGAUGGGACCAGAACUUAACAUUUUCCUGAGGACUAGGAAGCUCAUCAGACACUGGAAUGCAGUGAUUCUUCUAAUGAUGGUCAACUGCAAGGAGAAACUGUUUACAUCCUUCCCACUACACAGUUGCUAUGAUAUGUAACAAGUCACACAUGUAUAUAUCACACAAGUCUUACCAAUUCUGCGUCACUAGGAAGCUAUAGCAUGGUCGUGAAAGCUCUCCUAAUACUUACUUAAAUAGCCAUGGAAGAAAAUUAUGCUUGUCCCUUCUGACUGGGUUAAGCCAUCUUUCUUAAGAUUCCUGAAGUAGAAAUAGCAAUUAAGAAAUUAAUUCAAGUUUUGACGGUUAACAUUUAGCAGAAAAACAAACCAUUGAAUAAGCUACUAGGUGAAAUGCAAAACAACCAUCAAUUUUUUUAAACUCAAUAAUUUUGUG
rnacentral:lncRNA from 10 species